rnacentral:rRNA from 1 species
UACGGAGGGGGCUAGCGUUGUUCGGAAUUACUGGGCGUAAAGCGCGCGCAGGCGGUUGCUCAAGUCGGGCGUGAAAACCCGGGGCUUAACCCCGGAACUGCGUUCGAGACUGGGCGACUCGAGUCCGGGAGAGGGUAGCGGAAUUCCCAGUGUAGAGGUGAAAUUCGUAGAUAUUGGGAAGAACACCGGUGGCGAAGGCGGCUACCUGGCCCGGUACUGACGCUGAGGCGCGACAGCGUGGGGAGCAAACAGG